CAGUAGCCACGGGAACACGGAGGGUGCAAGCGUUAAUCGGAAUUACUGGGCGUAAAGCGCACGCAGGCGGUCUGACAAGUCAGAUGUGAAAUCCCCGGGCUUAACCUGGGAACUGCAUUUGAAACUGUCAGGCUGGAGUCUUGUAGAGGGGGGUGGAAUUCCAGGUGUAGCGGUGAAAUGCGUAGAGAUCUGGAGGAAUACCGGUGGCGAAGGCGGCCCCCUGGACAAAGACUGACGCUCAGGUGCGAAAGCGUGGGGAGCAAACAGGAUUAGAUACCCGCGUAGUCCCUGUCUCUUAUAC
rnacentral:rRNA from 1 species